ensembl:lncRNA
AAUUUCAGAGACUGCUGUCAAAAAGUGUAGAACUGUGCAUGGUGUAAGGCUUGUGUGGUAGGUUGAGCCUAGUCACAAUGAUAAACACUAUAUAUUGGGAUAUAUUUAUAGCAUCCCAAUUAGCUGAAAAUCAAUCUGCAUCCAGAAACAGAAUGACUUUUUAAACAAUUUAUACAAAAAAUGUUAGAUUGAAAGAUACUAUAAGAUAAUUGAAUGACUGAUAAUGACUGAAAUCAUCAGUGUAAAAUUUUAGCAAAGUGUUAAAAAGAUGCUACUGUUCAAUAAUGAAAUAUCAUUUAUUGUUCUAAGAAAAUUAACUGUGUGUAAAGAAAGGUAUAUUGGGGUUUCUACAUUAUUUAGCACUACUUAAACAAAAAAAUAAUGAAAUAAUGUUUAAUUUGUGUAAGUAUUCAUGAAAAGUUUGGGUUGGGCAACUGCUGGUCUGCAGAAGACCUACCAGUGCCUAUAAACUCAUUAGGCAUAACUUAUCAUCAGAAAAAACACUUCAACCUCAAAUUUAUAGUCUCAUGUGGCAGGACUUUUUAAGACUAGAGGCAAAGUCAUUAUCAUGGUCUUCUUUCCAUCACGUUCAUGGUGGAAAAAUAUAUCUGGUUCUGUCUUUUUUUUUAAUAGUGUCAACAGAUCUCUAGAAGAAAUAAAAUUGCAUGCACUUAAAAGUGCAUUUUUGUGGAAGAUGCCUGGCAGCAGAAUGUUUCAGUAAAGUUACACCACUCAAGAGAGUAAUAAAGUAUGUUAUAAUAGUCCUACCAUUUGAGUGUGCAGACUAUGAUUUUCUGAGGAUGAAGUACAGGUGGGGAUGUUUUCUGACACCAGCUGUCAAAGCUUUUGUUUUCCUCUUUUUGAGUUUACAAAACCUAUGGGAUAUUUUGUAAAUGUGGCCAUAAGAUAGUAAAAAAGUGGGUUUAACUGGAAUUACAGCAUUUAAAGAACUCUGCAAAGAGGUGACUGGGGCAACAUUCCCAUUGAAAUCUGUGAAACAUGUACAGUGUGUUAUUGAAUUGGAAUUCUAUCACAUUUCUGACAUGCACUCUGAGUUUUCACUGCAACUGUCACAGGUUAAUUAUAUUUCUUUAUUUAUUGGAAGUGGGCAAGCCAAAUAAUGAACAGCAGUACCUGGUGACACCAACUCCACUGUCCCCUCUGAUCCAGGUUUGGAUGUACCCAGCAAACAAACAGCAGUGUUUCUCAGCAUAAACUCACAGGCUCCAGGGAUUUGGGAAAGUAUCACCUCUUGGUUGGAGGCAUACAUUCCAUAUCUCAUCGUCACUGAUGGAUUUUUUAUUUUACUUCUUUGGGAAUUAAAAACUCCUUAAAAGCCUAGGCAUUUUGAAAAAUAUACAUCAUUUAGAUCUUUUGUAAGACUAUUUUAAAAUAUGGAAAAUGCUUUGGUUUGCAAUUCCCUUUUUACACAUCCAGGAGGAAAUUUCUCUAACAUAGUCUUUCUUCUUAAUUAAUUAAAAGCCUUCCAGUGUCUUUGAUAAGUGUUUGUUACUUCUGCCUAUCCCCAGAAAGUUUAUCCCAAAAAGAAAAUCUUCCGGUGAAAGAAUUGGGACAGAAAAAUAGAAAAAUAAGGAAAAAAAAUUUUCAAAGUCUUUUGGUUUUGUUCAUGAGUGGCUGGGCUUAAAAAUUGUGGGUAGUUACCUUCCCCAUCACAAAAUAUCUCUGUCAGUGAACUUGGACUGUAUAAAUCAUAUCCACUGUCCUCAGUAAGACACAUGGUGGAGCACAGGAGAGGUGCACAGAUCUUGUGCCCAGGACAAACUCCUCAGCUGAAGGCAGCCAGAAUUCAUCAGCAUCACUUCCAAAAUGCAGCCACACUGCACCUUAAAAAUGGAGGCUUUAUAAAGGCUAAGUCUGACCAAAGCAUGAAUA